GAUGAACGCUGGCGGCGUGCCUAAAACAUGCAAGUCGAGCGGUAAGGCUCUGCACUUAGUGUUUGAUCGAGGUAAUUUAUUACCACAGUAGACCAAUCGGAACCUCGGCGGGGGAAGUGAGGAAUAGGAAGAUCGAAUAAUAAGUGUAGAGUACACGAGCGGCGGACGGGUGAGUAACACGUGGGAAUCUACCCCAAACUGAGGGAUAAGCACCGGAAACGGUGUCUAAUACCGCAUAUGGUCUUUGAUUAAAGCUUCGGCGGUUUGGGAUGGGCCCGCGGCCUAUCAGCUUGUUGGUGGGGUAAUGGCCUACCAAGGCGACGACGGGUAGCCGACCUGAGAGGGUGAUCGGCCACACUGGGACUGAGACACGGCCCAGACUCCUACGGGAGGCAGCAGUUGGGAAUCUUGCACAAUGGGGGAAACCCUGAUGCAGCGACGCCGCGUGGAGGAUGACGGAUUUAGGUCUGUAAACUCCUUUUAUCGGGAAAGACUUAGGACGGUA
rnacentral:rRNA from 1 species